AGGUCUAGGUGGCAAGGGCGUCCU
rnacentral:miRNA from 1 species